rnacentral:rRNA from 1 species
UACGUAGGGUGCAAGCGUUAAUCGGAAUACUGGGCGUAAAGCGUGCGCAGGCGGUUGUGCAAGACAGAAUGGUGAAAUCCCCGGGCUUAACCUGGGAACUGCAUUUUGUGACUGCACAGCUGGAGGUGGCGGCAGAGGGAUGGAAUUCCGCGUGUAGCAGUGAAAUGCGUAGAUAUGCGGAGGAACACCGAUGGCGAAGGCAAUCCCUGGGCCUGGCACUGACGCUCAUG